AUGGCUGCUCUUGGGGCAGAUUCUGAUGCCAGAGUAUCUUAUGUCAAGAAGCAGCUCCGUGUCUUGCUCAAGCAGAUCAUAGUUGUGGCUGCAUUAUACUGGUCCUUUAUGAAGAACGCACUGCACGGCCAACGCGUCGUAUCAGUGACGGUUGACACGCUGCAGGCGCACUAUGAUGGAAUCGACAAGUCGGCAGCAAAGACCAUAUCUGAUGCAACGCGCUUUCUCAAGAAUCAGGAGUCAUGGAGUUUCUGGAUUUGCCUCAAUUCCCGUUGUGAUGGCAAGAAGUUCUCGGACACUAGUUCGCUCUGGCAACACACGUGCAGCAAGCACCGAGAUGAGCUCUGGGGGAAGCUGCAGUCACUUAUAGAUCCAGAAUAUUAUGAGAAUUCAUCACAGGAUGAUCACUCGUUGGUUGGGAUAACUCUCAGCCGCCAGUCUGACACCUUCCUUUUACCAAGGGUGCAGGAUAUGUUUGAAUCCUUGCUGCUUUCACCAUCUGUUGGAAUACAGGCAGAGCCCUUCGCUGAAAUGCGACAAAGGAAAUGCAGAGAAGGAUCUGAGAUCCUUGGGAGCAUCAGGGAGAAGCUGAGGAUGUUGCCUAAAGAUACACUUAGCACUGAGUUUCAGGAGUGCUGUUCUGGAAUAGACAAAUUGUGGCUAAAGUUUCUUCAAGUUACUGUUGUGGAUUAUCGUGAAAUCAUUCUUCCCCUUGCGAGAUCAUACCAAUGGAUAGAAUUGAAGAAACGGAUUCCUUUUUAUCUAAAUCAUCCUGGUACUAGGCGUAUUGGAAUUGCUGAUGCCAAUAUUGAUAUUAUAUGCGGAACUUCUGGCCAAUCUGUCAAGGAAAUGGCAAGCACCUCCAGUUCUCAACAAAGCCUUACUGUUUCCAACAAGAACAAUGCUGAUAAAGAAUUGUCUAUCUUGAGUGUAAUCAUACAGUCAUUGUGCAAUCUGAGGCAUUUCAGAGAUAAACUUCUGAUGGGGCCACUUGUAUGGAUCCCGUCAGCUGAUAAUCCCUGCAUUGCACAGCAACUUUAUGAAAUCUUCUCUUCUUGGGAGAAAAAUGACCACCACUUAACCGAUGUUGUACUGACUUACAUGAAGACUCUUCUCUGCAGAGUUGUAGAUUGCAGCACUUUUUAUGAAAAGGUUGGGAAAACUUUUGCUUCUGAGAUUGUGGCCACAAUUCUCAUUGAAUUGCAUAUGUCAGAAACUUGUUCGCGUUUUAGAGAAAACAAGGAGACCGAGAGACAUGUAGUGAACCGAAUCACAUGCGGAGAUUGCAUAUGCCCAACACAUUAUCUUUUUGGGAUCAAAUUUGAUGCCCAAAUCAGCUGUAGCUGUGCGAAGUCUUCCGGUGAAUACCUGUAUACCACACUUUUCCAUAAACUUGAUGCCGGUUCACCUCAAACAGCAAAGAUCAAGUCCUUUGCAGAGCUUCCAGUCCUAUUGGAUGAACAGUUUCGCGAGGACAACAAAUGCGACCAUUGUGGAAGUCUGCAGAAUAUUGAUCUCUUUCUUUCAAACACGCCACACUUCUUUACAAUAGUUUUGAACUGGCUGGGUGGCAGUGAAAGCCAGGACGCACUAUCUGAAGUUCUGGCUGGCAUCACGUCUCCCCUUGACAUUGAGUUCUUUUGCAGAAUUGCUCAUCCUGCAGCUAUGUAUGCUGUCACCUCCAUGGUACGUGCACAGCAAACUAUUCUAUUUUCCUAA
rnacentral:rRNA from 1 species